GGUACGCGACCCACACACACACGCUGUGCCUGGAACUUUACUCACAUUGAUGAGGAAAAAGGAAUAACUGGACAGUAAAAGCGAAUGUUGCUAUCAUGUUUGCGGACGAGAAUUUGCAACAUGACGACGGGCCUCCUCCCCAGCUACUGUCGUUACCGCUGUGGCGGGAUGCGAUGGGUGGGCAACACGGACUUAAGGAGAGCCAGCUCUCGGACGGAGGUGCUUUUCGGCGUGGCCCCGUGCUUCAUUGCUUUGAGUCGAGGGCGGAGGGUCUGUCACGCGCUGUACACCAAAGAGAGUCGGGUCCAGCAGAGGCCUGAGUCACAGGAGUUACCCCGGCGAGCGGCUGAAUUGGGGGUCCCUGUGCGGAAGGUCUCUAAGAGGGAACUGGACAAACUAUCUGGCGGCCGCGUUCACCAAGGCUUCUGCCUCGAGGUCAGUCCGUUGAAGUUCACUCCGCUAGAUCUCCGGACCGCGGAGGAGGAGGAGGCGGCGGCGGCACAUAGCGACGGCUGUCGGCUAUGGCUGCUUUUGGACAGAGUUCAAGACCCCAUGAACCUGGGAGCAAUUCUGCGAUCCGCGUAUUACUUCGGUGUGGACAGAGUGGUGGUCGGACUGCUUGACAGCUGCCCUUUGAGUCCUGUUGUUAGCAAAGCCAGCGCUGGAGCAAUGGAGGACUUGGAUGUUUACGCCUCAGAAACACUUCCUGAACUUAUCAAGGUAAAAAUCAGUCAAGGGUGGCAUGUGGUUGGAACUGUUGGAUCAGCGUCAGAAAAGAUUUCUGUGCCUAUAAUUCCCUGUUCUGAAUUUCAAUACAGCAAGCCUACUGUUUUAAUUCUAGCAGGCAGACAGUGUCUACUGAAAGGUGGUGGACCAUGCUCAUCGGUUGCCAAGCUCUUGUUGCUGCAUUCACUUGCUUUGGAUGUGAGAUUGAAACGAGAAUGCCUGGAGUAAACUUGGGAAGAAGGUCAAGUAUCCACACUUGGUGAAUAAACUGGGAUUUGAACCCAAGUCGAUGGGAAGUGGUUAAGGCGGCUGUAUCACUGUUCCAGAUAUCCAGACUUUGCCGUUGUGUGCGGAGCUGUACCUCCACUUGAGUCUCCUCUGGGCACUCUGUUUUCCUCCCAUGUUUCAAAGAUGUGAUCCUAGGAUUAACUUGUUGAUUUAGUGCACCACAGAUGGAUGAAUUGGUUUUGCCAUAUUUCAGAAUUUGGCUUUUUGCCUUGUUGUAAUAUUCACACCUACAGUAUAUGAUGCUUUUGUUAACGUGCAUGCAUUAUAUUAAAGCAGACCUCAAGCGAUUUGUCACACAAAUGUAAUCCUUCAAACUAUAAAGAAGACAUGCCAUUCUUUGCUUUUUUUUCGGUUAAAUGGCUGUUUUAUGUUUGUACGUUAGUAAGGACUAUUUCAGCAUAGUUUUGCCACAGUCGUUCUCAAGUCCUAACAUGGCACAGAAUCGUUUGCUUCUGCAGCUCACUGAUGUAUUUGACCCUUCUGUUGAUUUUCAUUAGGAGAUGGGCCCUUCAGGGAACAUGUACCUAUUUACCCAUCAUACAAGAGGACAAUAUACAGACUUUGCUUGGGUGCCAACAAUAAAUCUGCUGCUGCUGUUUCCACAUGCUGGAACACUCUGAAUUGUAAUGAAGCUUCUGGGCUUUCUCCGCAAAUCGAACAGUUGUGUCAUUCUUUCUUAACCGUCCCUCCAGGCCAACGC